UAACAGGAUUCCCCUAGUAACUGCGAGUGAAGCGGGAAGAGCUCAAAUUUAAAAUCUGGCGGUCUUCUGGCUGUCCGAGUUGUAAUCUGGAGAAGCGUUUUCUGUGUUAGACCGUGUACAAGUCUCCUGGAACGGAGCGUCAUAGAGGGUGAGAAUCCCGUCCAUGACACGGACAACUAAUACUUUGUGAUACGCUCUCGAAGAGUCGAGUUGUUUGGGAAUGCAGCUCAAAAUGGGUGGUAAAUUCCAUCUAAAGCUAAAUACAGGCGAGAGACCGAUAGCGAACAAGUACCGUGAGGGAAAGAUGAAAAGCACUUUGGAAAGAGAGUUAAACAGUACGUGAAAUUGUUGAAAGGGAAACGCUUGAAGUCAGUCGCGUUGUGCAGAACUCAGCCUUGCCUCGGCUUGGUGUACUUUCUGCACAACGGGUCAACAUCAAUUUUGGCCCAUGGAGAAAGGUGGGGGGAAUGUAGCGCUGUUUCGGCAGCGUGUUAUAGCCCCCUGCUGUAUACAUGGGCUGGGAUUGAGGAACGCAGCACGCCCUUGUGGCCGGGGGUUCGCCCCACGUACCGUGCUUAGGAUGUUGGCAGAAUGGCUUUAAGCGACCCGUCUUGAAACACGGACCAAGGAGUCUAACAUGCUUGCGAGUGUUCGGGUGGAAAACCCUUGUGCGUAAUGAAAGUGAAAGUUGGGAACCUCCGCAAGGGGGUGCACCGACGCCCGGCCCUGACGUUCUCUGACGGUGCUGCGGUAGAGCAAGUAUGCUGGGACCCGAAAGAUGGUGAACUAUGCCUGAAUAGGGCGAAGCCA
rnacentral:rRNA from 1 species